UACGUAGGGGGCAAGCGUUAUCCGGAUUUACUGGGUGUAAAGGGAGCGUAGGCGGCAUGGCAAGUCAGAUGUGAAAGCCCGGGGCUCAACCCCGGGACUGCAUUUGAAACUGUCAGGCUGGAGUGCAGGAGAGGUAAGCGGAAUUCCUAGUGUAGCGGUGAAAUGCGUAGAUAUUAGGAGGAACACCAGUGGCGAAGGCGGCUUACUGGACUGCAACUGACGUUGAGGCUCGAAAGCGUGGGGAGCAAACAGG
rnacentral:rRNA from 1 species